GCGUCGCCACUCGCCAUUCACUGAGGAGGUAAACAAACGCUGGCUGUGUUAGUAAUAUCGGUUAAAAGCUCGCUCUUUAAUAGAAUUUGUGUUAAUAUCUCUCAGUUGAUGUUUUUUUUUUCGUGUUAAUUCUUCUAACGUUAAUUCGAGCCGUUGUAAUGAAGUAAGAAACAGCAGUCUUUACAGACAGAAUGUCGUAGUCACUCGUUCACUCUGAACAGAAGUUCAACUUUAACACUCACUGUUGACUGGCAGACAAUAAAGGUUCAGGAGUGUCCAUUGAAGAUGGUACAAGACACACCACUAUCAGUGCACCAAUCUUUAGAGAGCUGGUAGAUUCUGAUAAGGUGUUUUUUUUUUAUUAACAGCUGAUUGAUUCUCAUGCAUUUAGCUUCUCAGUAACAAGGACGUAACAGAAACAAUCAUAUUACAGUCCGGCAAUGUUCUGCUAGUGCUAUUUUUGCAUCUGACCUGAAUGCUCUGUACAAACAGGACAGCCUCGGGUGACCUUCUGUCUGAUUCACUUGUUUCAUGAUGGUCACAUUCACCAUGCAGAGAGGAUCUUUGUGCUGAGCUGUUAUAUCUCACAUAAUAUCAUUGAAAUUAACAUACUGUAUCCAUUUAUUUAUUUAUGCGAUUGCCUAUUUACAUAAUAAAGUCUGAAAAAUGACUAAAUGUAAAUGCAAAUAUCCUGCCACAAAUGACAUAAUGCAUCUUUAACACUAUUUACAAUACUGUUACCCUUUACUUUUGCUAUUUUCACUUCGUGUACUCUCUUUGAAUGUCCAAUUUUGUUUUAAUGACCAAUAUUAAUCUGUCCAAUAAUGAUAGUAGAUUGCUUCCUAGACUAUAACGGUGUCCUGCAUCAUUUUAUUCAAGACUGCUCUUUCCUGUUUAUGAAUUUUGAUUAAUUCUUUCUACAGGAAAUCCCAGAAAUGAGAAGAACAAGUGUAUGUUCCUGUUGUACUUUCAGGCGAAUUCUUGUUGUAUCAUUUGUAUCUUUUUAUUAGUUGUAUUUCUGUUAACUAACAACUUUGCAAUAGCUAUUAUUAAUAAAAUAAACUAACAUUAGAGGUAUUUGCAAUUAUUAUUUUACCAUUGCUCAUACAUACUUGAAUGUGUAACAACUGAUCAUUUUAAUUAAUUUAAUUUGAUUUAGUUUAUCUAUUUAUAAACUCAUGCUAACACUUUACUAUAAGGGUUCCUUUUUUUCAGUACUUUAUUAACAAUGAGCAUACUUUAAUAACAUUUCAAUCUUGAUAUUUUUUUAAAUCAAAUGUUGUAGAUGUUGUAGAUCGAUUUGCAUAAAAAAUGAACAGUUCUAUUAAUCACAAUUUUUUUUUUUCUAAUUACAGAUUAAUAAAUGCUGUUAAACAUAGUUUAUUGUAAGUUCAUGUUAGAUAAUGCAAACUAAUGUUAACUAAUAUAGUUUAAAUAAGUAUGUCUGUUACUGUUACAUCUGUUUGGAUGUAUGACAGCUACUGAUCAUUUAAAAAUCAAGUUGAUUAUUGACUUAAUAUUUUUGCUAACACAUCUACUUCUAGUUGUUUGUAAUAUACAGUGAAUUACAGUUAUAUCAAUGUUGAUUUCUCUGUUUUCGUCUGUAGGUGGUUCCUGGAGAGGCCUUUUUUUGACCCCAUCCCUCCUAAUAGCACACUUUCUGAUGAUGCAUUCAAUGCAUCAAUGCAAUGCAUUUAAUGCUCUUUCCACUUCUGCUUUCUCAGGUUGUGGAUUUUGAGGGCUUCAUCUGUGCACUCAAUGAGCAGGGUUACCUUCUGAAGAAAGCCCACAGGAAGUAUCAGCUUCAAACCACACGAAUCAGCCAUCUCUUGUGAUGUUUCACACUCGAACUGUUUCAUCCUGUUUCGUUUGUUUUUCAAUGCAACAGAUAUUAUACUUAUACCAUACAGUGUGAUGUAUGUUUAGACAAAUGCUUCAAUGUUAUCUGUACAUUGUUUUCAUGUACAUAAAUAGACUCAUGAUUGUUUAAAUAGUAUUUUCCUUUUAUAUAAUCAAACAGUAACCUCAUUUUUGAACAAUGUUUAAGUAGUUUUGUAUCUUAUGAUGUUAGCUGUGUCCUUUCAGUAGAUUCUUCUAAAUGUAAUAUUGAACUUUUAAGUCUGUUUAUACUACUGUCUGUGAAAUAACCUCACUUAUACAUGUGCAGCUGAUAAAUUUAAUUGC